rnacentral:rRNA from 1 species
AUGAACGCUAGCUACAGGCUUAACACAUGCAAGUCGAGGGGCAGCAUGGUCUUAGCUUGCUAAGGCCGAUGGCGACCGGCGCACGGGUGAGUAACACGUAUCCAACCUGCCGUCUACUCUUGGACAGCCUUCUGAAAGGAAGAUUAAUACAAGAUGGCAUCAUGAGUCCGCAUGUUCACAUGAUUAAAGGUAUUCCGGUAGACGAUGGGGAUGCGUUCCAUUAGAUAGUAGGCGGGGUAACGGCCCACCUAGUCUUCGAUGGAUAGGGGUUCUGAGAGGAAGGUCCCCCACAUUGGAACUGAGACACGGUCCAAACUCCUACGGGAGGCAGCAGUGAGGAAUAUUGGUCAAUGGGCGAGAGCCUGAACCAGCCAAGUAGCGUGAAGGAUGACUGCCCUAUGGGUUGUAAACUUCUUUUAUAAAGGAAUAAAGUCGGGUAUGGAUACCCGUUUGCAUGUACUUUAUGAAUAAGGAUCGGCUAACUCCGUGCCAGCAGCCGCGGUAAUACGGAGGAUCCGAGCGUUAUCCGGAUUUAUUGGGUUUAAAGGGAGCGUAGAUGGAUGUUUAAGUCAGUUGUGAAAGUUUGCGGCUCAACCGUAAAAUUGCAGUUGAUACUGGAUAUCUUGAGUGCAGUUGAGGCAGGCGGAAUUCGUGGUGUAGCGGUGAAAUGCUUAGAUAUCACGAAGAACUCCGAUUGCGAAGGCAGCCUGCUAAGCUGCAACUGACAUUGAGGCUCGAAAGUGUGGGUAUCAAACAGGAUUAGAUACCCUGGUAGUCCACACGGUAAACGAUGAAUACUCGCUGUUUGCGAUAUACUGCAAGCGGCCAAGCGAAAGCGUUAAGUAUUCCACCUGGGGAGUACGCCGGCAACGGUGAAACUCAAAGGAAUUGACGGGGGCCCGCACAAGCGGUGGAGCAUGUGGUUUAAUUCGAAGCAACGCGAAGAACCUUACCAGGUCUUGACAUCGAGGUAAAGCCGUAAGAGAUUACGGUGAGGCUUCGGCCGACCGAAGACAGGUGGUGCAUGGUUGUCGUCAGCUCGUGCCGUGAGGUGUCGGCUUAAGUGCCAUAACGAGCGCAACCCUUGUUGUCAGUUACUAACAGGUUCCGCUGAGGACUCUGACAAGACUGCCAUCGUAAGAUGUGAGGAAGGUGGGGAUGACGUCAAAUCAGCACGGCCCUUACGUCCGGGGCUACACACGUGUUACAAUGGGGGGUACAGAGGGCCGCUACCACGCGAGUGGAUGCCAAUCCCCAAAACCUCUCUCAGUUCGGACUGGAGUCUGCAACCCGACUCCACGAAGCUGGAUUCGCUAGUAAUCGCGCAUCAGCCACGGCGCGGUGAAUACGUUCCCGGGCCUUGUACACACCGCCCGUCAAGCCAUGAAAGCCGGGGGUACCUGAAGUACGUAACCGCAAGGAGCGUCCUAGGGUAAAACUGGUGAUUGGGGCU